rnacentral:rRNA from 1 species
AAGACCUUGCGCUUUUGGAGCGGCCGAUGCCUGAUUAGCUUGUUGGUAAGGUAAAAGCUUACCAAGGCUUCGAUCAGUAGCUGGUCUGAGAGGACGGCCAGCCACACUGGGACUGAGACACGGCCCAGACUCCUACGGGAGGCAGCAGUGGGGAAUUUUGGACAAUGGGGGCAACCCUGAUCCAGCCAUGCCGCGUGAGUGAAGAAGGCCUUCGGGUUGUAAAGCUCUUUCAGCCGGAACGAAACGGUUACGGUUAAUACCCGUGACUACUGACGGUACCGGAAGAAGAAGCACCGGCUAACUACGUGCCAGCAGCCGCGGUAAUACGUAGGGUGCGAGCGUUAMUCGGAAUUACUGGGCGUAAAGCGUGCGCAGGUGGUUUUGUAAGUCAGAUGUGAAAGCCCCGGGCUCAACCUGGGAACU